GCGGGGGUUGCGGCCUGCUGUGUGCAUGCAGGGUCUCCAUGGGCCGAAUCUAAAUGCCCCCCACCUCCCCUGCACCGAAUGCCCCUCCUCUUCCCUCGCCAUCCGCCUGCAGCCUGCAGUGGACGCCUUCUCCCUGAACCUCUUCCCCAUUGCAUUGUCUCACUGACCCCUGCCGGGGUGGGCUGGGGCUGCCUGGCGCCGAGCUGCAAUCUCCGCUUUGGGUUUUUGGUUUUGUUUUGUUUUAUGGAAGGUCUGUUUUCCAGCAGACCACGGAUCCAUUCCCAGAAGGAGGGUGGAACAUACUGGCUUCUGGGGAAUUGUGGUCCCUGCCUCACAGGGUGGUGGUGAGGAUCUCACAAGAUAAUGCACCGAAGCCCCUUGGUGCAGUACAUAGCACCUUCCAGAGGCGCUCAAUGAACGGGAGCUGUCAUCAUUGUCAUUGUCGUCGUCAUCAUCGUCAUCAUCAUCAUCACCACCAUGUGCUUAGGCUAUGUUUUCAUCUUCCACUUGAUGGAACUGGAGUCUCGGGACAAGCUGAACACACUAGAUUUAUGUGUAUCUACGGCAUCCUUCUCCCUCUCUCCUUGGACAAGCCAUGCUCGUUCCUGCCUCAGGGUCUUUGCAUCUACUGUUCCCUCUACCAGGCUGAUCCUGUGAUCAUUCCUGAAGUUUUACCUCACAGAUGAGACAACUGAGGCUCAGAGCAGAGAAGGGAGUUGGUCAAGGUGCCUCAGAGCCGGGAUUCAAGUCCAAAUCUGCCCAUCGCCAAAGCC